AACGAACGUUAGCGGCGCGCCUAACACAUGCAAGUCGCACGAGAAAGGGCUUCGGCCCCGGUACAGUGGCGCACGGGUGAGUAACACGUAGGUAAUCUCCCCUCGAGUGGUGGAUAACCUUCCGAAAGGAGGGCUAAUACAGCAUGAGACCACGAGCUCGCAGAGCUUGUGGCCAAAGCGGACCUCUUCAUGAAAGUUCGCGCUUGAGGAUGAGCCUGCGGCCCAUCAGCUAGUUGGUAGGGUAAUGGCCUACCAAGGCUAAGACGGGUAGCUGGUCUGAGAGGACGGACAGCCACACUGGAACUGAGACACGGUCCAGACUCCUACGGGAGGCAGCAGUGGGGAAUCUUGCGCAAUGGACGAAAGUCUGACGCAGCGACGCCGCGUGAGCGAUGAAGGCCUUCGGGUUGUAAAGCUCUGUGGGGAGAGACGAAUAAGGUGCAGCUAAUACCUGCAUCGAUGACGGUAUCUCCUUAGCAAGCACCGGCUAACUCUGUGCCAGCAGCCGCGGUAAGACAGAGGGUGCAAACGUUGUUCGGAAUUACUGGGCGUAAAGCGCGUGUAGGCGGCUACGUGUGUCGGGCGUGAAAUCCCAUGGCUCAACCAUGGAAGUGCACCCGAAACUGCGUAGCUAGAGUCCUGGAGAGGAAGGUGGAAUGCUUGGUGUAGAGGUGAAAUUCGUAGAUAUCAAGCGGAACACCGGUGGCGAAGGCGGCCUUCUGGACAGUGACUGACGCUGAGACGCGAAAGCGUGGGGAGCAAACAGGAUUAGAUACCCUGGUAGUCCACGCCGUAAACGAUGAGUGCUAGGUGUCACGGGCUUUGACCCUCGUGGUGCCGAAGCUAACGCGUUAAGCACUCCGCCUGGGGAGUACGGCCGCAAGGCUAA
rnacentral:rRNA from 1 species